rnacentral:rRNA from 1 species
GCGCAGCAGGCGCGAAUCGUGGACAAUGGGCGAAAGCCUGAUCCCGCGACGCCGCGUGGGGGAAGAAGGCCUUCGGGUCGUAAACCCCUGUCAGGGAGGACGAAGGGUAGCUUGGCGAAUAGCCUUGCUACCUUGACGGUACUCCCAGAGGAAGGCCCCGGCUAACUACGGUGCCAGCAGCCGCGGUAAUACGUAGGGGGCGAGCGUUGCUCGGAUUUACU